GAAGGAACCAGUGUUUGUUGAGCACCCACAGCUGCCAGGUGCUGACAUUGUGGUUCCCUCUUUAAUACCUCCAGUAACAUAGCAGCAUCUCCAUUCUACAGGUGAUGAAACUGGGACUGGGGGAGGUUGAGUAACCCAAGUUCACACACCAGGAAGAGCUUCGGUUCUGGAUCUGUACCCCAAGCCUGUGCCGUUUCCACCCCGUCACAUCUUCCUUCCCAAGAGAAAGGAGACAGAAGCUUCUAGAUUCCACAUGGGAGGAAGCCCAGGGCCUGGACUGAGGAGUCAGCAUUCUUGGACAUUUGGAGGAGUCAGGGGAGCCCAGCAGAGGAGACAAGUGUUGCUCAGAGACCCGAGGGAGCCUGUGGCACUUUCUGUGACCUGGGCACAGAAGGGGCUUCUGGAAACUGCUGCUGAGAUUGGAGAAUAUAUGAAGAUGUGCAGGUGCCACUGCAAAGCGUGUUUUCUUUGCUCUGUGCUGACUCCCUCUCUUGAAUUCCUCUGGCCCUUGGAAUUAAUAUGGGAUAGGCCAAAGGUUUAUCAGGCUCUGUGUCACCCUCCUACCUCAUGCCUCCAUGAUGGCUGA
rnacentral:lncRNA from 1 species